rnacentral:rRNA from 1 species
UCGAGAAUCUUCGGCAAUGGACGAAAGUCUGACCGAGCGACGCCGCGUGCGGGAUGAAGGCCUUCGGGUUGUAAACCGCUGUCAAGUUGGAGGAAAUGUUAGGGAGCUAUCUCCCUAGUUUGACCAAUAGCAAAAGGAAGGACGGGCUAAGUUCGUGCCAGCAGCCGCGGUAAUACGAACCGUCCAAACAUUAUUCGGAAUCACUGGGCUUAAAGGGUGCGUAGGCGGUCUUGUAAGUUAGAUGUGAAAUCCCUCGGCUCAACCGAGGAACUGCGUUUAAUACUGCAAGGCUUGAGGAAGAUAGAGGUAAACGGAACAGAUGGUGGAGCGGUGAAAUGCGUUGAUAUUAUCUGGAACACCUGUUGCGAAAGCGGUUUACUGGGUCUUUUCUGACGCUGAGGCACGAAAGCUAGGGGAGCGAACG